UAAUUUUUUUUGGUCCCGUCAAGUGUUAUGCUUCUAUAGGAAAUCUUUAAAGGACGGUCAUUAUUUCCGGUCUCUUCGGUGACCGUUAUAUGGAAGUUUUACUGUAUUAUCACACAUGAAAAUGGGUUUUCAUCAGUUCAAUACAUUCUUCAACAUUUAAAUGACGGUGGUAUAUGCUUAUGGUAAUCGAUGAAUUUUGUUCACUCUUUUUCGAAAGUGGCUGUGUCU